GAUACGCGUACCAAGUACUCGGUGUAAACUAGGUCAGAAGAGACAGAAAUUCAACUGAGUGAACAAGAAGAAAAAAGGUGCUCGUGAAGUAUUCAUUAAAAGAGAUUUAUACAAAUGAAAUUCCUCAGUAGUCGACAGCUGGAAAUCUGGCAAUAAAUCUGACUUUGUUACAUCCACUUGGUUACUUUCCGGAUUUGUGAGUACGUUUAUAAUUAGAUUUAAUUUUCUCAUUAUUGUAAUGUUUGUUUUAUGGCAUGUAUCUAUAACAAAUCGAACAUAUAUUAUUAGAUAUUGAUAAUUAAUAUACGAGGGGCGUCCUAAAAUUAAAUUAACAAAACAUUUUUUAAAUAUUUAUAUUUAAUUUUUACAUAACACUAUGCAUUGUGUUCCAUGAUUAACACCUUUUUUAAUGUAAUGUUCGUGACGAUUGAGGCAUUUGUCUAAGCGUGAGAUUAAUAGUUUUUUGAUGCUCAUCUUGUAAAAUUUGGGGUACUGAGACUUGAGCCAUUUCACUGUCUUAACGUCAUUGUCAUUCUGAAACCUAUGGCUACCAUAAUGUUCCUUCAGAACUGGAAAGAGGUUAUGAUUACUUGGUGUUAGAUCUGGACUAUACGCUAGACCACAUACUGUCACUACGAUUCGAAAACUCUUGCAACAUUUUCGGUGGGAGAUGUUGAAACAUCUUGACGUGACCAGAAAUUUCAGAGUGAUGAUGUCAGACAAUGGUGAAACGUCUCAACUUCCAGGACAUGACAUCUUACGAGAUGAUGCGAGCAUCCAACUGAUUGCCUGUUAAUGAUCCUGUAUCAGAUGUAUCGAUAAGAUUAUCUGGCAGUCUCGGAAUCAAUAGAUACCUUCGGCAGAAGUACCGACCACUAUCGGUGUAACAUUAACUCGAUUAGUCAUUAAUUGGAGACCUUACCUUGGGUAAUGACGGAAUUGUUAUCAAAUGUUUAAAAUACUGCAUAUGUUUAACUGCAGUAUUGUAAAAGCUCUUCAAUUUGUGGAAUUACUUUGAGAAUCUAUUGCGGUGUCCGGUCAAUGUAUCCGGGAGCACACCAUGAAGAUUAAACAGGAUUUUCACGUCACAAUCGUACAGGUGCGAAGCGUCUUGGAUACAUGGAAACAAAGGCGCGAGUCGGCAUUGACCACACAAUGUCAUUGAGCAGGCAACUGAUGGCACCCAGCACCUAACCAAAAAAA